rnacentral:lncRNA from 1 species
CAACUCUGGGUGCCCUUGAGGGUUUCUCUUUCAAUCCCAGAAAUGCUGAUAACUCAGCUGGGCUGGGGCAGGAUUUGGCAUGAUAGGCUGGCUCUGAACCCCCUCCUAAGAGACCAAGAGAGGAAGUGAUGGAAUUGGUUGGUCCCAUUUCAACUCUAUGCUGAUUCUCAGGGUUCUCAUGGCUUCCCUAAGAGAGCCACCUAAACUGCUCGGGGGUGAAAAAUCCUCUUGUAUUGAAGUGCCAAGCUGCCUGCAGCAGUGCAUGAUGGACAUUUUUUUUUUCUUUUUAAAACACACCAACAAAAAAAUGUAUUUGUAGAUUGUGAUAAAAUGUAAAUAACUGAAUUUUCAACCAUGGUUUGAAGUCAGCUUUCAGGGCAUUAUGUCUUGUUUUGAUGAAAAGAGAUCACUCUAUACCCCCCUUUUUAAAGGAAAAUUAUCGCAAGAGAAUCAGGAUGUGUAAAGCUAACAUGCAUCGCAAAAAACCAAAGGUGACUGAAAACUCCUGAGGCAUUUCCUGGACU